rnacentral:rRNA from 1 species
CAGCCGCCGCGGGAAUACGAAGGGGGCUAGCGUUGCUCGGAAUGACUGGGCGUAAAGGGCGCGUAGGCGGAUGGUACAGUCAGAUGUGAAAUUCCUGGGCUUAACCUGGGGGCUGCAUUUGAUACGUAUUGUCUAGAGUGAGGAAGAGGGUCGUGGAAUUCCCAGUGUAGAGGUUAAAUUCGUAGAUAUUGGGAAGAACACCGGUGGCGAAGGCGGCGACCUGGUCCUUGACUGACGCUGAGACGCGAAAGCCAGGGGAGCGAACGGGAUUAGAUACCCGCGUAGUCCCUGUCUCUUAUAU